rnacentral:rRNA from 1 species
CCUACGGGAGGCAGCAGUGGGGGAUAUUGCACAAUGGGGGGAACCCUGAUGCAGCGACGCCGCGUGGGUGAAGGAGCGUUUCGGCGCGUAAAGCCCUAUCGGCAGGGAAGAAGGAGGACGGUACCUGACUAAGAAGCCCCGGCUAACUACGUGCCAGCAGCCGCGGUAAUACGUAGGGGGCAAGCGUUAUCCGGAUUUACUGGGUGUAAAGGGAGCGUAGACGGUAUGUCAAGUCAAGGGUGAAAUCCCCGCGCUCAACGUGGGAACUGCCUUUGAAACUGGCAAACUGGAGUGUGUGAGAGGAUAGUGGAAUUCCAGGUGUAGGAGUGAAAUCCGUAGAUAUCUGGAGGAACAUCAGUGGCGAAGGCGACUAUCUGGCACAUAACUGACGCUGAGGAGCGAAAGCGUGGGUAGCAAACAGGAUUAGAUACCCCUGUAGUC